rnacentral:rRNA from 1 species
AUUGAACGCUGGCGGCAGGCUUAACACAUGCAAGUCGAGCGGAGCGAGGGUGCUUGCACCUUAGCUUAGCGGCGGACGGGUGAGUAAUGCUUAGGAAUCUGCCUAUUAGUGGGGGACAACAUUCCGAAAGGAAUGCUAAUACCGCAUACGCCCUACGGGGGAAAGCAGGGGAUCUUCGGACCUUGCGCUAAUAGAUGAGCCUAAGUCGGAUUAGCUAGUUGGUGGGGUAAAGGCCUACCAAGGCGACGAUCUGUAGCGGGUCUGAGAGGAUGAUCCGCCACACUGGGACUGAGACACGGCCCAGAAUCCUACGGGAGGCAGCAGUGGGGAAUAUUGGACAAUGGGCGGAAGCCUGAUCCAGCCAUGCCGCGUGUGUGAAGAAGGCCUUUUGGUUGUAAAGCACUUUAAGCGAGGAGGAGGCUACUAGUACUAAUACUACUGGAUAGUGGACGUUACUCGCAGAAUAAGCACCGGCUAACUCUGUGCCAGCAGCCGCCGUAAUAC